rnacentral:rRNA from 1 species
GUCGAGCAGGUACGAAAGUAGGUCUUAGUGAUCCGGUGGUUCUGUAUGGAAGGGCCAUCGCUCAACGGAUAAAAGGUACUCCGGGGAUAACAGGCUGAUACCGCCCAAGAGUUCAUAUCGACGGCGGUGUUUGGCACCUCGAUGUCGGCUCAUCACAUCCUGGGGCUGAAGCCGGUCCCAAGGGUAUGGCUGUUCGCCAUUUAAAGUGGUACGCGAGCUGGGUUUAGAACGUCGUGAGACAGUUCGGUCCCUAUCUGCCGUGGACGUUUGAGAUUUGAGAGGGGCUGCUCCUAGUACGAGAGGACCGGAGUGGACGAACCUCUGGUGUUCCGGUUGUCACGCCAGUGGCAUUGCCGGGUAGCUAUGUUCGGAAAAGAUAACCGCUGAAAGCAUCUAAGCGGGAAACUUGCCUCAAGAUGAGAUCUCACUGGGAACUUGAUUCCCCUGAAGGGCCGUCGAAGACUACGACGUUGAUAGGCUGGGUGUGUAAGCGUUGUGAGGCGUUGAGCUAACCAGUACUAAUUGCCCGUGAGGCUUGACCAUAUAACACCCAAACA